UCACAUUGUGCAGGUCAAAGCAGCCAUCAUGGACCACCAGCAGUUAAGAAUUCAGAGAUUAUCCAAUUGUUUUCUUGUAGGGAUAUUGACAAACGCUGGGGGGAGGGAGAAAAGUUGUGUUGGCAGAAAAACUGUUGACAAUGACAUUUCUCAGAGGUUUGGUAUUCAGUGCUACCGACUAAGAAACCAUGGUGACCAUUUAAAAUACCAGCUGAC